rnacentral:tRNA from 1 species
GACUCCGUGCUGCAGUGGCUAACACACCCGCCCGGAGAGUGGAGGGUCGUAGGUUCGAUUCCUAUCGGUGUCU